rnacentral:rRNA from 1 species
AGAACGAACGCUGGCGGCAGGCUUAACACAUGCAAGUCGAACGCGUGUAGCAAUACACGAGUGGCGCACGGGUGAGUAACGCGUGGAUAUCUGCCUUUUGGUUCGGAAUAACCCCGGGAAACUGGGGCUAAUACCGGAUGGUUCCUACGGGAUAAAGAUUUAUCGCCAAAAGAUGAGUCCGCGUACGAUUAGCUAGUUGGUGAGGUAAUGGCUCACCGAGGCGACGAUCGUUAGCUGGUCUGAGAGGACGAUCAGCCACACUGGGACUGAGACACGGCCCAGACUCCUACGGGAGGCAGCAGUGGGGAAUAUUGGACAAUGGGGGCAACCCUGAUCCAGCCAUGCCGCGUGAGUGAUGAAGGCCUUCGGGUUGUAAAGCUCUUUUGGCGGGACGAUGAUGACGGUACCCGCAGAAUAAGCCCCGGCUAACUUCGCGCCAGCAGCCGC